AGUCCCGCCUGCCCAGUGAUAAACUUCAACGGCCGCGGUACCCUAACCGUGCAAAGGUAGCAUAAUCACUUGUUCUCUAAAUAAGGACUUGUAUCAAUGGCAUCACGAGGGUUGCACUGUCUCCCCCCUCCAAUCAGUGAAACUGAUCUCCCUGUGAAAAAGCAGGGAUAAAACUAUAAGACGAGAAGACCCCAUGGAGCUUUAAACCAACAGCAAUUUAGUAAAAUUUCCUUACAGCUUCAAAAUUAUGCUAACGGCUUUAGGUUGGGGUGACCGCGGAGUAAAAUUUAACCUCCAUGUUGAAAAGAUUUAUCUUAACCCAAGAACCACUACUCUAAGAAUUAGAAAACUAACAAACUAUGACCCGAUUGUCGAUCAACGAACCAAGUUACCCUGGGGAUAACAGCGCAAUCUACUUCAAGAGUUCCUAUCGACAAGUAGGCUUACGACCUCGAUGUUGGAUCAGGGUGUCCUAGUGGUGCAACCGCUACUAAAGGUUCGUUUGUUCAACGAUUAAAACCCUACGUGAUCUGAGUUCAGACCGGAAC
rnacentral:rRNA from 1 species